UACGUAGGGUGCAAGCGUUGUCCGGAAUUAUUGGGCGUAAAGCGCGUGUAGGCGGCCAGGUAGGUCGGUUGUGAAAACUGGAGGCUCAACCUCCAGACGUCGACCGAAACCAUCUGGCUAGAGUCCGGAAGAGGAGAGUGGAAUUCCUGGUGUAGCGGUGAAAUGCGCAGAUAUCAGGAAGAACACCGAUGGCGAAGGCAGCUCUCUGGGACGGUACUGACGCUGAGACGCGAAAGCGUGGGGAGCGAACAGG
rnacentral:rRNA from 1 species